rnacentral:rRNA from 1 species
GAUGAACGCUGGCGGCGUGCCUAAUACAUGCAAGUCGAGCGAACGGACGAGAAGCUUGCUUCUCUGAUGUUAGCGGCGGACGGGUGAGUAACACGUGGAUAACCUACCUAUAAGACUGGGAUAACUUCGGGAAACCGUAGCUAAUACCGGAUAAUAUUUUGAACCGCAUGGUUCAAAAGUGAAAGACGGUCUUGCUGUCACUUAUAGAUGGAUCCGCGCUGCAUUAGCUAGUUGGUAAGGUAACGGCUUACCAAGGCAACGAUGCAUAGCCGACCUGAGAGGGUGAUCGGCCACACUGGAACUGAGACACGGUCCAGGCUCCUACGGGAGGCAGCAGUAGGGAAUCUUCCGCAAUGGGCGAAAGCCUGACGGAGCAACGCCGCGUGAGUGAUGAAGGUCUUCGGAUCGUAAAACUCUGCUAUUAGGGAAGAACAUAUGUGUAAGUAACUGUGCACAUCUUGACGGUACCUAAUCAGAAAGCCACGGCUAACUACGUG